AAGUGACAUGUCAGAGCUGCGAUUGCCUUCAGUAGUCCAGUUUUAAGUCCAAAGCCUUAAUCGUUCUUUCUGGAUACCCAGUACCUUAUAAUGCAGAUGGUCGAAAGGUGGAUUCAUCUGUGAACAGUGGAACUUUCUACAGGGAUGGUGGAAAUGGAGAAGCUUUACCAUGAGAGAGUAAGACUCCUUGGCUGAGACACCUAGGGCCCCUUGGGACUGGUCUGGAAGGCAGUGUCAUAACUAUGAGGCCACUAGGGUGGACCUUGUUGUUAUU
rnacentral:lncRNA from 1 species